GUGCCAGCAGCCGCGGUAAUACGUAGGGGGCAAGCGUUGUCCGGAAUUACUGGGCGUAAAGGGCGUGUAGGUGGGAAAUUAAGUCAUGGGUGUAAACUCUGGGCUCAACCUAGAGAUUGCCCAUGAAACUGGUUUUCUUGAGGGCAGGAGAGGAAAGUGGAAUUCCUAGUGUAGCGGUGAAAUGCGUAGAUAUUAGGAGGAACACCAGUGGCGAAGGCGACUUUCUGGACUGUCCCUGACACUGAGGCGCGAAAGCCAGGGGAGCGAACGGGAUUAGAUACCCCGGUAGUCCUGGCCGUAAACGAUGGGUACUAGGUGUGGGGGGUAUCGACCCCUUCCGUGCCGCAGUUAACGCAAUAAGUACCCCGCCUGGGGAGUACGGUCGCAAGACUGAA
rnacentral:rRNA from 1 species